rnacentral:tRNA from 2 species
GAGAAAGAAGCAUUUUGGCUAUGUUACUAGUUUGAAACUAGUAGAAGGUGGUUCAAUUCCCCCCUUUCUUG